rnacentral:SRP_RNA from 1 species
GCCGGACUUGGUAGCGCAAGCCUGUGACCCGUGUGGGGGCAUCCUGGUGGUGGAACUUUGGCAAUCCGUAGCGAGGUGUGGUCUUUUGUCAUAAGCCCAUUAUUUGGGUGGCGCAGGGCUGGCUUUUCAGAGCAGCGUAGACUUGCCAUUGUCAACCAAUGCGUGGGCGGCCUUGGCAUAGCUCGGUUUGACCCAAACGGACCAUCACC